rnacentral:rRNA from 1 species
UACGUAGGGAGCGAGCGUUGUCCGGAUUUAUUGGGCGUAAAGAGCUCGUAGGCGGUUUGGUAAGUCGGGUGUGAAAGCUCCGGGCUCAACUCGGAGAGGUCACUCGAUACUGCCAUGACUGGAGUCCGGUAGGGGGGUGUGGAAUUCCCAGUGUAGCGGUGAAAUGCGUAGAGAUCGGGAGGAACAUCAGUGGCGAAGGCGGCCAUCUGGGACAACACUGACGCUGAAGCACGAAAGCGUGGGGAGCAAACAGG